UGAGUACAGUGUAUGAGAACCAUCCAAAGUUCAACUUGUCACAACACGCUAGUUCUCUUGAUGGACUCUCAUGUCAAGAUAAGUUUUUAAGCUCAAAUUUCCUUUACUCAUUGCUCACACAAAAACCUAGUUCUGAAGGAGCACCAGGUGCUGCAAGCUCUAUGAUUACCAACAUGAACAGUUGCAGCUUCGCGAUGCACUUCAAAACAACAUGAACAGUUGCAGCUUCUCGACUACACCAUAACUAUGGUUCGAUGGUUGUGUAUGAAGUGCAUUUAGAAAUCGCGGGAGACUUUUUUUUUGAAGUUUAUGAGUACAUUAAUUUGUAUGUCAGUAUUGCAACUUUUGUUUAUUUUGACACAUUCAAAAAAGUGUAUCUUAAUGAC